rnacentral:rRNA from 1 species
GACGAACGCUGGCGGCGUGCUUAACACAUGCAAGUCGAGCGGUAAGGCCCUUUCGGGGGUACACGAGCGGCGAACGGGUGAGUAACACGUGGGUGACCUGCCCUCAGCUCUGGGAUAAGCCUGGGAAACCGGUCUAAUACUGGAUAUGACUCCAUGACGCAUGUUGUGGGUGGAAAGCCUUGUGCGGCUGAGGAUGGGCCCGCGGCCUAUCAGCUUGUUGGUGGGGUGAUGGCCUACCAAGGCGACGACGGGUAGCCGGCCUGAGAGGGCGACCGGCCACACUGGGACUGAGACACGGCCCAGACUCCUACGGGAGGCAGCAGUGGGGAAUCUUGCGCAAUGGGCGAAAGCCUGACGCAGCGACGCCGCGUGAGGG